rnacentral:rRNA from 1 species
GACGAACGCUGGCGGCGUGCUUAACACAUGCAAGUCGAACGGUGAAGGGACCGGUUUUUGCUGGUUCUGGAUGAGUGGCGAACGGGUGAGUAACACGUGAGUAACCUGCCCCCUUCUUCUGGAUAACCGCAUGAAAGUGUGGCUAAUACGGGAUAUUCUGCGCCUGCUGCAUGGUGGGUGUGGGAAAGAUAUUGUUUCGGUGGGGGAUGGGCUCGCGGCCUAUCAGCUUGUUGGUGGGGUGAUGGCCUACCAAGGCGGUGACGGGUAGCCGGCCUGAGAGGGUGGACGGUCACACUGGGAAUGAGACACGGCGCAGACUCCUACGGGAGGCAGCAGUGGGGAAUAUUGCACAAUGGGCGCAAGCCUGAUGCAGCGACGCCGCGUGAGGGAUGGAGGCCUUCGGGUUGUAAACCUCUUUCGCCAGUGAAGCAGGCCUGUCCCUUUUGUGGGUGGGUUGACGGUAGCUGGAGAAGAAGCGCCGGCUAACUACGUG